GGGAGGAGGGAGCUGAUUCUGCUGCCUUCUUUAUAGAAGCGCCUGUCCCAUGCCAUCUUUUGGGCACUAAUUAUCGUCAGAAAACCUUAUGAGCACCAGUAUCAUAAUGGCUACUUUAGAGGCAGAGUGCCCUGGAGCGCAGACUAAUUAAUUUACACCAUAUUACUAGUAACAUUAACAAGGCAGAUCUAUUUCCAGUUCAGCACAAGCGUCUUGGUUCCAGGAAGAAGAAUAAGAGAAAAAUAAAGGAAAGAAAUGUGCCUAUAGCGCAUCCUGCUUCGCAAAAGCUUAUUUUAA